CUUGAAACUUUACUCAAACAAUUGAGUUAAUGAGUAAAUUCGAGUCAAAUAUACUCAGGAAUUUUUUGCAGUGUAAUCCUAACCUAACGGCUAACCUUCCUUGCCGAAUGCACAUCUAACGAAUGGAAUGCCCCUAAUAAUUACAAUUGUACACUGUACAUUUUUCCACGUGUUUACGUGUUUGGAUUGCAUCAAGAUUCUGCAGUGACACCACAUCUACAUAACAUCCGGCAUUUAGAUGCUUGAAUCCGGAAGCAAGAUUGACAAUAUAAUCAAUUUAUUUGUCUAUACUAAACCACAACCUACGGCAAGUUUUGAAAAGAACACGCCUUCAGUACAAAAUUUCAUUCGAAAUUCAAUUACCGAGAAAGGUGUUGAAAAACGAGGUCUCUGCCCUAGUGUUGUCGAACUAGUUUUCAGCAUUUUGGGCCUGUAUACUGCAUUGUAAAUCAAAUCUGUUUCAUUUCAAGUUGUUUAUUUUGUUGGUAUAAGCUGGCAUUCCGCAGUCCUCGCCUGUUUAAUGCCUAGGAAUUUGGACUGUCUAAGCUUAGUGAGAACUGAGAUGACUCAUGAUUAGGGAAUCUAUAGCAUUUUGUUUAACAAGUUGGAUUCAAAAUCAUGACUUUCAACCCAUAAAAUGUUUUUGUCCAAGUUCUUUAUAUCAUCAGAUACGAAAAAUUCAAAACGCCUACAUUAAUGUGCUUAGACUAAAUGAUUUUUUCCGAGUUUUAAUCAAUAAUGCUUUAAACUCAUUUCAAACUUUUCAAAACUUUCCAGAAGGUUUUUGAUAAGCAGUGUUUAAUUUCCAGUCAUUUUUGACUAAUUAAUUUAACCGUUGUCGCAGGGUCCGUAGUUUUGUGUCUAGAAUGUUUUAAGCCAUUUCCUUCUCUACGCUAUAGCAUUUCAUUAAAAAGAACUCGCUGUCGAAAUUUUAAUUACCCGGUUUGCGGUUUAGUUUCGUAAUCCAAAUUGCAGUUGAAACAUAACAUGUAAUAGAUAUUGAAAAAAUUUAAAUAUGACUAUAUGGGGAUCAAAGUAUUCAACUAAAGAUAAUUACGUUGAGUCACUCAUUGUUUUGACAUAUAUUUGAUGUUAUGGAAAGUGCCGAGAUGAUAAAGAAAUGCCCGUUUGAAUGAAUAUAUUAACAUAUUUUCCCCCGAUGUAAAACAAAAUAAAAAAAGUUCACGAUGAAGUAUUACUUCAUCGUGAAUUUGUUUUACAUCGGAGGAAAAUAUGUUAACAUAUUACUUCAUCGUGAACUUUUUUUAUUUUGUUUUUAAUACAUCGGGGGAAAAUAUGUUAAUAUAUUCAUUCAAACGAGCAUUUCUAAAGUCAGCUAGCCUUGACAAGCUCUUAAUUUUCCCAACUUUUAAACUGAGUAUAUUUAAAUCGUUUUCAUCUGACCAAGUAUUUUUAAGACAGAUGGUUUCACGCUUAUUUCGUUAUCUGCUCAGUGAGUUCUAUUUAAUGAGAUGCCAGCGCUUUCAACAAGUGACGUGUAACUAGGCCUAGAGCUCCCAGAACUGACUAGAAAGACUAAUUACAAGUCCGUCAGCGUAAAGCCUUAAGCAUGCUAGCGGCCGGGUCACUAAAGCUGUCAUAUACAAUGACUGGUAUUUUAUCAAGAUGGCCAGGACAUGUCAUUAUGCGGCGCGUUUCAAUGACACGUCAAUAGUUACGGUAUUUGCUCGCGAACAAUUUAUGAACACGCUGAAAAAUACGUUCAAAAUUAACGACGGCAACGUAAUAUACUAGAAAAACAAUCUUAUACCUUGACGAUGUAAAUAGAC